AGAGUUUGAUCAUGGCUCAGAUUGAACGCUGGCGGCAGGCCUAACACAUGCAAGUCGAGCGGUAGCACAGAGAGCUUGCUCUCGGGUGACGAGCGGCGGACGGGUGAGUAAUGUCUGGGAAACUGCCUGAUGGAGGGGGAUAACUACUGGAAACGGUAGCUAAUACCGCAUAACGUCGCAAGACCAAAGUGGGGGACCUUCGGGCCUCAUGCCAUCAGAUGUGCCCAGAUGGGAUUAGCUAGUAGGUGGGGUAACGGCUCACCUAGGCGACGAUCCCUAGCUGGUCUGAGAGGAUGACCAGCCACACUGGAACUGAGACACGGUCCAGACUCCUACGGGAGGCAGCAGUGGGGAAUAUUGCACAAUGGGCGCAAGCCUGAUGCAGCCAUGCCGCGUGUGUGAAGAAGGCCUUCGGGUUGUAAAGCACUUUCAGCGGGGAGGAAGGCGUUAAGGUUAAUAACCUCACCGAUUGACGUUACCCGCAGAAGAAGCACCGGCUAACUCCGUGCCAGCAGCCGCGGUAAUACGGAGGGUGCAAGCGUUAAUCGGAAUUACUGGGCGUAAAGCGCACGCAGGCGGUCUGUCAAGUCGGAUGUGAAAUCCCCGGGCUCAACCUGGGAACUGCAUUCGAAACUGGCAGGCUAGAGUCUUGUAGAGGGGGGUAGAAUUCCAGGUGUAGCGGUGAAAUGCGUAGAGAUCUGGAGGAAUACCGGUGGCGAAGGCGGCCCCCUGGACAAAGACUGACGCUCAGGUGCGAAAGCGUGGGGAGCAAACAGGAUUAGAUACCCUGGUAGUCCACGCCGUAAACGAUGUCGAUUUGGAGGUUGUGCCCUUGAGGCGUGGCUUCCGGAGCUAACGCGUUAAAUCGACCGCCUGGGGAGUACGGCCGCAAGGUUAAAACUCAAAUGAAUUGACGGGGGCCCGCACAAGCGGUGGAGCAUGUGGUUUAAUUCGAUGCAACGCGAAGAACCUUACCUGGUCUUGACAUCCACAGAACUUUCCAGAGAUGGAUUGGUGCCUUCGGGAACUGUGAGACAGGUGCUGCAUGGCUGUCGUCAGCUCGUGUUGUGAAAUGUUGGGUUAAGUCCCGCAACGAGCGCAACCCUUAUCCUUUGUUGCCAGCGGUCCGGCCGGGAACUCAAAGGAGACUGCCAGUGAUAAACUGGAGGAAGGUGGGGAUGACGUCAAGUCAUCAUGGCCCUUACGACCAGGGCUACACACGUGCUACAAUGGCAUAUACAAAGAGAAGCGACCUCGCGAGAGCAAGCGGACCUCAUAAAGUAUGUCGUAGUCCGGAUUGGAGUCUGCAACUCGACUCCAUGAAGUCGGAAUCGCUAGUAAUCGUAGAUCAGAAUGCUACGGUGAAUACGUUCCCGGGCCUUGUACACACCGCCCGUCACACCAUGGGAGUGGGUUGCAAAAGAAGUAGGUAGCUUAACCUUCGGGAGGGCGCUUACCACUUUGUGAUUCAUGACUGGGGUGAAGUCGUAACAAGGUAACCGUAGGGGAACCUGCGGUUGGAUACCUC
rnacentral:rRNA from 1 species